rnacentral:rRNA from 1 species
CCAAUAGCGUAUAUUAAAGUUGUUGCAGUUAAAAAGCUCGUAGUUGAAUUUCGGGAUCAGUGCGCUGGUCGUGCCUCUGGUAUGUACUGGUGUUUCUGAUUCCUCCCUUCUGACGAACUGUCAUGUCAUUAAUUUGGUGUGGCGGGAAAUCAGGACUGUUACUUUGAAAAAAUUAGAGUGUUUAAAGCAGGCUCGCGCUUGAAUACAUUAGCAUGGAAUAAUGAAAUAGGACGUUCGAUCCUAUUUUGUUGGUUUCUAGGAUUGACGUAAUGAUUAAUAGGGAUAGUUGGGGGCAUUAGUAUUCAAUUGUCAGAGGUGAAAUUCUUGGAUUUAUUGAAGACUAACUACUGCGAAAGCAUUUGCCAAGGAUGUUUUCAUUAAUCAAGAACGAAAGUUAGGGGAUCGAAGACGAUCAGAUACCGUCGUAGUCUUAACCAUAAACUAUGCCGACUAGGGAUCGGAUGAUGUUAAUUUUUUAAUGACUCAUUCGGCGCCUUACG